rnacentral:rRNA from 1 species
UACGUAGGGGGCAAGCGUUGUCCGGAAUCAUUGGGCGUAAAGCGUGCGUAGGCGGUUCGUUAAGUCUGUUGUGAAAGCCCCGGGCUCAACCUGGGAAUGGCAAUGGAUACUGGCGAGCUAGAGUGUGUCAGAGGAUGGUGGAAUUCCCGGUGUAGCGGUGAAAUGCGUAGAGAUCGGGAGGAACAUCAGUGGCGAAGGCGGCCAUCUGGGACAACACUGACGCUGAGGCACGAAAGCGUGGGUAGCAAACAGG